rnacentral:rRNA from 1 species
UAGGGAAUCUUCCACAAUGGACGCAAGUCUGAUGGAGCAACGCCGCGUGAGUGAAGAAGGUUUUCGGAUCGUAAAGCUCUGUUGUUGGUGAAGAAGGAUAGAGGUAGUAACUGGCCUUUAUUUGACGGUAAUCAACCAGAAAGUCACGGCUAACUACGUGCCAGCAGCCGCGGUAAUACGUAGGUGGCAAGCGUUGUCCGGAUUUAUUGGGCGUAAAGCGAGCGCAGGCGGAAGAAUAAGUCUGAUGUGAAAGCCCUCGGCUUAACCGAGGAACUGCAUCGGAAACUGUUUUUCUUGAGUGCAGAAGAGGAGAGUGGAACUCCAUGUGUAGCGGUGGAAUGCGUAGAUAUAUGGAAGAACACCAGUGGCGAAGGCGACUCUCUGGUCUGCAACCGACGCUGAGGCUCGAAAGCAUGGGUAGCGAACAGG